GAUGUUGUUGAAUUCAUAAUCGAUAACUAAAACUGUAUAAGAGAAAAACCUUCUUAAUCUCAAUCUAUUUAAAUAAACCUCCAUCAAAUCAACAACCAUUGUCUGAAUCGCAACCUUCCUUUUAAUUUUCCUCUUAUCCCAAACACUCGUAUCCUUCAAUCUCCCCAAACCUCGAGGCGCCCCGCUUUCAUUCGGACUACACACAUAUCCAAACACCAUUUCAAAUCAAACAAAACACUAAAUAGUAACCAAUUCAAAUAUCUAAACAAGUAUACAUAUACAAUAUACAUACAUAUUAUAUCGAUAAAGAAACUUACACGCUCGUUGCUGCUGCUGCUUCACAAGCUGUAUAUACUUCUCAACCUCUUCAUCCGUUACAUCGGCACCGGAAUCCUGUUUAUACCUACCGGAAUUCCGCUUCGUGAUUCGGUCGUGAACUCUUGUUUCAGAGUUCUGUCAUUGAAAGUGGAAAUUAGGUCAGAUUCAGAUUCCGGACUCUUAAAACGAGUGAUUCGGUCAGGACCGGUGGCGAUGAUUGUUGUGGUUGGUCUGAAGAAUGGUGUGGAUAGCCGGAACGGGGAGGAGGCGUGAAGGAGGUGCGGCGGUGACGGCGAAGGAUGGGCGGAGAACGACGGUGAGGGUUUAAGGAUAAGGGUGGCCGCCAUGGCCGGAGUUGAGGGAGAAGGGGCUCCGGGAAACCAUAAGCGGAGGAUUUUGGUGGUGAUGGUAGCAGGCCUACACAAUUUACAUACCCAAAGUUAGUUGUCUAUUUAAUACCCAAAUUAAUACCCUAAAAACUGAAAUGACAAUAAUACCCUCAUGUGCAAUUCACAUAAUCAGAUUUAACAGAAAAAUCUAACUGGGUUAGGGCUAAAGGACAUAACAUGCAAAAUUGUAAAACAUUAAGUACAAGACUCGUCAAUUUAAAAGAUAAAGGACACCGCCUGAAAUCC
rnacentral:lncRNA from 1 species